CGUAGGUAAUCUACCUUUGGAUGGGGAAUAACAACCGGAAACGGUUGCUAAUACCGCAUAAUGCAGCGGCACCUAAUGGUGACAGUUGUUAAAGCGGGGGAUCGCAAGACCUCGCGUCUGAAGAGGAGCCUGCGGCGGAUUAGCUAGUUGGUAAGGUAACGGCUUACCAAGGCGAUGAUCCGUAGCCGGCCUGAGAGGGCGGUCGGCCACACUGACACUGACAUACGGGUCAGACUCCUACGGGAGGCAGCAGUCGGGAAUUUUGGGCAAUGGGCGAAAGCCUGACCCAGCAACGCCGCGUGAAGGAUGAAAUCCUUCGGGAUGUAAACUUCGCAAGAACGGGAAGAAUAAGCCGGUGUCAACACCACCGGCGAUGACGGUACUGUUUGUAAGCUCCGGCUAACUCCGUGCCAGCAGCCGCGGUAAUACGGGGGGAGCAAGCGUUGUUCGGAUUUACUGGGCGUAAAGGGCGCGUAGGCGGCCACCGCAAGUCGACUGUGAAAUCUCCGGGCUUAACCCGGAACGGUCAGCCGAUACUGCGGGGCUAGAGUGCAGAAGGGGCAACUGGAAUUCUCGGUGUAGCGGUGAAAUGCGUAGAUAUCGAGAGGAACACCUGCGGCGAAGGCGGGUUGCUGGGCUGACACUGACGCUGAGGCGCGAAAGCUAGGGGAGCGAACGGGAUUAGAUACCCCGGUAGUCCUAGCCUUAAACGAUGAAUGCUUGGUGUCUGGGGUUUAUAGUCCCC
rnacentral:rRNA from 1 species